GCCUGGCUAGCUCAAUCGGUAGAGCGUGAGACUCUUAUACAUUCAUUCCAAUAGUAAGAACUAUCUCAAGGCUGCGGGUUCGACCCCCGCGUUGGGCU